AAUAUUCUGAAUGUACUUUCCCCACAUUUUAUUAACAGACCUCAGUUGUAGUGAUUAUUCAAGGAUCCUUUCCUUUCAUUUAAUGAACACUUAUUGAGUGCUGUCAUGUCAGACCCUGUGAUAAGAGUCUGAGAAUUCAUUAAAAAGAAAAAAGAAAGAAAGAAAGAAAGCAUAUCUCUGUACUUGAGAAGCUCAUGGCCAGGUCAGUGAAGCAUUUGGACAGGAAACCAAAUGAUUUGAAUCUUGGGCAAUAAUUGCUGUCCCAGAAGAAAAUACAGCUUGCCAAGGGAGCCCAGAUGAAGAGGACCUAAUUGAAAUCUUGAUGAAGUAAGCUCUAAAUACACCACGGCUUUUCCCGGAGUGUCCAAAUCCUAUAUGUUCAUGAGCAGAUAUGCCUAACUUCUACAAGCCACAAACUGAGGAGCUGAGAGGUGGGACCAGUGCUCAGUGCUCCCCUUAUUUCCUCAUUUUGGUGAAAACCACUGUUCCUUUGAAACCAGCUCUACUUCUGCCAUCACUCCUCUUCUCUGUGCCUCUACAUUUAUUGAAGUCUCAGUUCUGUUGUUCUGGUUGACUUCAAUCAUGUGAAUUGCCCACCCUACAGUUUUUCAAUAUACUCAAUUCAACCACCUCCACUGUAUUCUGUGAAACCCACUUUAAGGCACAACUGAACAUAACCAAUCAGAACUGUUCCACUUUUGAAAUCUCCACUUGGAUAUCCAACUUUCCAUCUAAAACCUACUGUCUUUUCUGCUCUUUCAUUGCAUUACCACUUCCACCCCUGCAAACUGAUUCAUCAUGAUCUCCAGUCCCUUGAUCACUACUUUCUCUCUAGUUUUGGGCUCCCUCAACCUCACUUCCUACCUGAUGGGGCCUAAACAAUCAUAUUAGAUCAACCUACACUCUUGCACAUACCCUUUUC
rnacentral:lncRNA from 10 species